AGGGCAAAAGGUGGUUGACUGAAAAAAAGGGGGUGGGGCCAGGGGAAUAUUAUGUAAUAAUCUGGAAAACACGGGUGCUUUCCUACUGCCACCUUCCUGCAAAUGAGUCGCAUGUGUUAUUGGCACUGAUUGAGUUCUUUACUAGUAAAAGCCGCAAUCUUUUUCACUCUGGAAAUUUGUACUCGCUCUCCGUGUUGUGCAUCGCAUCGAUUGCUCCGAAAGCUCGUCUAAUUUGCGGAAUAGGAAGUAAAACAUUGCCACUCACUGCCUGACUGCUGCGUCCCAUCAUGUCAAUUCACAGCCUGUGUUUUAUUUUUAAUUUUGCAGAUAAGAAGCGAAAGCACCAGUUGUUUGCGGCCCUGUUCGUCUUCCUGGCACUCCUGGUUGCUCUUGGCAUCAUAGUCUUUGAAGCAAAAAGGGAAAAAGGAUGCGUUAGACGACUGUUUGUCAUCGGAAGGAACAGGAUUUUUCAACGGGCCUCACAUUUUCCCAUUAGCUCUGAUGAAGACCACAGUUCGGAUUUGCAAGGGAACGCUACGGUGUCUGUGUCUUCUGCUUCUGCUUCGGAGUCUGUGUAGCAGAGACUUCACACUGGAGAACAUCUUCUGAAAUGGUGGAAAAGAUGAACGUUCCUCCCAACAAGACCCAGCACCUUCACCUCCUACACAGCUAUUCCUAGACAGCUCUGGACAUCACAGAGUCAGUUGGAAUGGAAUGGAGUUAAUGAGACAGCUGUCCAGAUUAGUAUGUCCUGUCCUAGAAGGCAGUCUUGGCCAAGGCGCGUGGAUUUUACUUUGCUGCUGAAGAUGAUUUUUGAAGCUACCUCUCCAUUGACUUGAUCUCUGCCUUGCAUAAUACAUAAGUACUGAAAAUGUCCACCCAAAUCAAAGCAAACUUGAGGAUACACCAGUCUUUUACAGUAGCUCUGGUAAAUGAUACUGAGACUGCAAAUGAUAUAAGAAAUGUUCCUUUGUGUGCCAUGCAUGUUUCAGAUGGCGUGAUUAAAAGUUUUGAACAGG
rnacentral:lncRNA from 1 species